rnacentral:misc_RNA from 1 species
CCGGGUUACCUCCUUMAUUUUGGGUCMAGGGUUGUUUUCCCUAAGAGCGUAUUGUUGGUUUUCUGUAUUGGAUACCUAAUCGAAGGUAUUAUUUUGAUCGAUUGGAGUCCCUUUUCGUCUUGUGUUGCAUUCUGUGUCGCAUGAUGAACUUUGAAGCGGUCUCUAUGAUCCAUCACGUUGAUGCACUUGCAUUGAUGUUGUGGCCCAUUGAGCUUUGUUUGGUUUCUUGGAUAUGGAACAUGAAGUGGGCAUGGGGCUGUCAUGAUCCUCUUUUGCCCUCGU